GUUAUCCACCGGAACUCUUUAAAAGUAAUUAAUGUUGCAAAAGGCGAAAUUCCUACUUAGCCAAUAGUUUAGUAGAUUACAUGAUCCUUUAGAUUAUUCAUGACAUUACGUUAUCCAUGUACGUUAGGCUUAAAUAGGACUGUUCUGAAAAGCUUAGCGGUUAGGUUAAGAAGAGAAAGAAAGGAAUUAUGGCUUUGCAGUGCACCACCGUAAUUUUGUUAUUUUCGCUUGUACUCCUAUCCGUCCAAGUCCAAGGCUUAAGAAAAGAGGUCCUGCCAAAGAUGCACGAAGAAAUUAACUACGAGGGUACAAAACUGAAAUGUGACAUCUAUCAUACCACCGACGAUUCUGGCACGUGGUGUAACUGUCCAUUUCUGUUCUGCACCGGAAGCCAGGACUGUAGCAACUUAGGUGGAUUAAUGUGCGGAAUUAAAAACAAAAAUUACGAUUACAUGAACAUCAAGGAUGGAGAUUGUAAAUGCAAAUAUUUGGGAUAAUUUGGAAUCAUGUAAUAUCACUUAA